CCAGAGGCAGAGGAUCCCGAUGGCACCCAGCUGGCGUGGCAGUACGACGAGGAGACAGAUCGCCUUUACGUGAACUAUCCAGAAGACUGAGCCGUGGUCGUGAUCGUGGGCCUGCAGCGGGUAGCAUAGCAUUUCCCUUGUUUUGUAGUCCGUACCGGAACUACCUUGUUUGUAUCUGCGUUGUGCUCUGUAUCUUUAAUAAGAAGACAGUUGAAUCCCAGAUUGUCUACUAUAUUUAUUAUUAUGUGCUAUGUUUACUUGCUUGCAAAACACUUAGAUGCGCUUCUUUCCUAUUCGGGGCCUCGACCCCCAGAUCGGAAAGGACCGCAUCUUAGUCGUUACAC
rnacentral:lncRNA from 1 species